AGCUUUGCAAAACAGUAGUAUCAUAGCCAAUGAGAUUUAUCCAAGGCAUGAUUAUUGCCAAUUGAAAACUUUUCCCAAUAUCCAGCUUUGACAACUUGGAAUAUACUUGGAAUUGGCAAUCAAUCAAUCAAUCAAUAAAUA
rfam:Ictidomys tridecemlineatus contig026688, whole genome shotgun sequence.